UCAAGCAAACCUAAGAUCAAGAAAAUGAGUUUGAAUACCUAAAUUAGUGUCCAAAAAAUACAAAGAAGAAGAUGAGGUCAGAGGUGACGUACAAGAAUUGAUGUCAAGAAGAAUGGGAGCGGGGUGGAAAUGAAAUCAAAAGACUUAGUGAGCAAUCCACCUAGAGACCAGUCAACCAUCUCAUGAGUUUCAAGGCUGAUAAUGACAAGAUCCCCCUAUUUGCGCUGGCCUCGUACACCCCUCAGGAAUCGAUGCUUCCUACAUCAUUAUUUGUUUAAUCUCUUAAUGUUUAUAUAUAGUGGAAGAUGUACCAGAGCCCAUGAUUUGUCGAUUUGUUACAUGGGUUUUUCUACCGUAUGAACACCCAUUCAUCCAAUCUCAUUCACUCCAUGCCAUUUUUCAACCAUAACCAUUUUUUCUUUUUAAAUUUCAUUUUUUUUAAAUAAUAAUAAUUUUUUUAAAAAAAUUAAGAUAUGAAAAAAAUUUAUCAUCUAAAAUUUUAAUUCCUGUAAAAAUAUAUAUAUGAAAGUCUCUACAUUUCUUUUUAGUAUUCAUCCAUAUCACUUUUCAAUCAUUCGCAAUCUUUUUUCCUUUUUAAGCUGUCUUUCUUUACUAUUCAUCCUAACUUUUAAGUGUUGAUUUUCUUUAUAUUUUUACCAUUCAUCUUGCCACUUUUCAAUCAUCCGCAUCUUUCUUUCUUUCUUUCUUUCUUCUUCUUUUUUUUUUUUUCUAAAUGUUUGUUUGGAUAUAAUAUUUGUUUUCCAUUCUAAUAAUAGUAAAAUUUAUUUACUUAAAAUGAA
rnacentral:lncRNA from 1 species